rnacentral:rRNA from 1 species
AUUGAACGCUGGCGGCAUGCUUUACACAUGCAAGUCGAACGGUAACAGGCCUUCGGGCGCUGACGAGUGGCGAACGGGUGAGUAAUGCAUGGGAAUCUGCCCUUUGGUGGGGAAUAACCCGGCGAAAGCCGGGCUAAUGCCGCAUAAGAUCUUCGGAUGAAAGCGGGGGAUCGUAAGACCUCGCGCCGAUGGACGAGCCCAUGUCGGAUUAGCUGGUUGGUGAGGUAAGGGCUCACCAAGGCGACGAUCCGUAGCGGGUCUGAGAGGACGGCCAGCCACACGGGGACGGGGAAACGGCCCAGACUCCUACGGGAGGCAGCAGGGGGGAAUAUUGGACAAUGGGGGAACCCUGAUCCAGCGACGCCGCGUGUGUGAAGAAGGCCUGCGGGUUGUAAAGCACUUUCGAUGGGAACGAAAUGUGCCGGGCUAAUACCCCGGCAAGCUGACGUUACUCAAUGAAGAAGCACCGGCUAACUCUGUGCCAGCCGCCGCCGUAAGAC